GGCCUUGUGGUCUAGUGGUAUGAUUCUCGCUUAGGGUGCGAGAGGUCCCGGAUUCGAUCUUGUGGUCUAGUGGUAUGAUUCUCGCUUAGGGUGCGAGAGAUCCGGAUUCGAUCUUCGGCAAGGCCC
rfam:Phytophthora infestans T30-4 supercont1.2 genomic scaffold, whole genome shotgun sequence.